rnacentral:lncRNA from 1 species
AUGCAGUCUGAAAGCCUUGAUCACUCAUUGGACAGCGGUCAUGCCAAUCCUUGCCUCCUGGCAAAUGAACUUAGAGCUGGUGCUGGAGGCAGUGGUCCCCGGUUGACCUUCCCAGUUCCACUUAACCAUCGCCAGCCCAUUGGGGUCUUUGCUGCCUGUCUGCUGCCAUCUCAGCCUCGGUCUCAGUGGGCCGGUCUGCGGGCCGCCCCCUUGCCGUUCCUGUCACGGGGGGGCCCACACCAGCACCUUCGCAAACUCCUGUUCCCUGAGCAGCCGUCGUCCCGGCGGCCCCCACCCCCACCCUUAGGUCCCACUGCCAACAGCGUCUCGUCGACGCGACACUCAGCCCGGCGGCCGCCAUCUUCCCCGCAGACAUCCCUGCAGGCUCCCAGUCUCCUUGGGGUCCAGGCAUCCGUUUGGGAGGGGAUGGAAGGAGUCGAGGAGGCCACGGCUCUUCUGGCCUCCUUGGAGGUCUCCAGUGCCCUUCCCGGGGAGCAGGGUUUGCCUCAGGCCGCAGUGGAAGAGGAGUGUGGUAGAGAGCCGUUAGAGGAGGAGGAGAUGGAGGAAGAUGUAGAGGAGAUGGAGGAGGACGAGGAAGAGGGGGAGAUUGAUUUCGAGGUGGAAGUCGUGGAGGAGGAGGCGCCUCUGUCUGGAGAGGGCGAGGAAGAGGAGGAUGAGAAUGAGCAGGAGGGUGCGGCAGCGGUUACAGGCCUUGGGUUCUCUAUGGAGACAUUUGGGCCCCUGUUCUGGAGUCACGUCGACUCCUUUCUACGCAAUAUCCGUAACAACAAACAUUUGUUCCGGCCUCCCACUGACGGCCUGAUGGCCGGGGCCUGCUCCCAGCCACCCUCGGACCCUGGAGAAGGUCCGGUGCCUCCUCAGGAGCGGGAAGACCUGGGAGAGGGAGACAGAGGCUUGCAGGGCCUAGACUCUGCUGCUGAUUUUAAGUUGGGAUAUUUUUCCUGCCAACUUUUGACUCCAAUGUCUGCAUCAUUCUGCCCUAAUGAUGAGGGUGAGGAUCAGUAUGAAAUGGCUGAUGAAGAGGAAGAGGAUGAAAAUGAAAAACCUGAAGAACUCUAAAUGGAUGUGGUCUCAGCAAAGAGCAGCUCUGGAUAAUUCAGGUAUUAUUGCAUAGGCUUUAGUAUGACAUAACCAUUCCUGACACAUACCUGUUACUAACAGCUUUAUAGUUUUAAAUUUUUCUUCUGCAAAGUAAAUAAGAAAAUGGUUGAAAUUAAAUUCUGGAAAAAGAGUUUAUUGUUAAUAAUGUAUUCUAGAUAAUGUAGGAGGCAGUAUGUUCUGAAGUGUAUUUCAUUUAGAGCCACAAGUCCUUUGUCCUGUAGCUUUAAGUCUACUGCAGAUAGGAACUCUAUCAGACCUGGAAAUGGAGACCAGUGCUUCUCUGGAAAAGAGUCACCAGAAGCAGCAGCUAAAGUGACUAGGCCAGGCAUUAGCUGUGUCAUCAUCGCCUGGCCACAGAAUUGUAGUCUCUUGU